CCCCGGCCUGCUGGGCGUGCCGGACCAGCGCCUCGACCGCCGGGCGCAGCCGGUCCCGGCCGGCGGCGACGCGUUCGUGCCCGCGGCCGGCGGC
rnacentral:tRNA from 1 species